UACCAAGGGGUAAUCACAGUAACUGAACAAGAAGAAGUACCUGCGUGGAUACCAAUCAUAAGCUCUUAGCAUUGUUGGGCUGCACUGGAGAAGUGCAAUGUCUUUGGAGAAUAAAUGUAACAAAGUGGUACUCACAUUCAGAACUGAUAUCUUAGGCAGGUUCUGUAACAUCUUCCACUCCCUUCUAAUGUAAUCUACAGAUCCUACUAUAACCACAUGCUUCAACUCAUGAUAAUGAAAAUUGGAAGCUCUUAAUGGCAUCACAAGGUUUCGGAGACCAAUAAGUGGUGAGUCUGGAUCAGCAAAGAGGCAGACAACAACAUGUCCAUUGAGAACAGUCAUUGCAGCUUGGUUCCGAUCCUAUGAUGGAGACAGUGAGAAAGACAAUCUGGGACAGAUGUUAGUUUUGCCAUCUGUUGGGAUUAAGGAGGACUCAAUAAAGAGAACAUGAUUUGUUGAUGAGAGUAACAUUUGUCCACAAGUGUGAAAACCUAAACAGCACCAGGGAGUUCUUUUUUAUAAAAAAAAAGCAGCAUAGAUGAAACUGUGAAAAACAACAAUUCUUCUUUGGUACAGCAAUGUAUUAAUUUCUUAUUCUUAAGAAUGUUCUGCUGUUUUCCUGGAUGGACAAAUGAAAUAUGCUGUCUCUUGUGAGAUUAUAAACAUGAAAAAGGUUUUGUUGU